rnacentral:ncRNA from 1 species
UUAAAAGCAAUGAAGGGAAGAGUAAUUAUAAAUACUGAGUUCGAGCGAGCUGGUUAUGGUGUGAGUCCAGUACGAAGUUUAUAACGAAGAACAUCCCGGAGCUACUAACCGAAAUCAUAUUGAGAGUAGACUUAGUCGGAACCAAACCGUUACAAUUGGUGACGUAUAAUAGUACGUUAAUUGAGGUGAACAUUAGUUAAUUUAGGUGGUACCGCGGAAGUACAGUCUUUCGUCCUAUAG